AAGCACUGUUUGUGCUUGUUCAGGCGAUAAAUUGGAAACAAUACAGAGAAGAUUAGCAUGGCCCCUGCGAAAGGAUGACACGCAAACUUGUGAAGCGUUUCUACAUUUU
rnacentral:snRNA from 1 species